AGCUAUUUCACACAGAUAACUCUCAUGAGGGAGACCAGGAUUGAGUUCCUUAUGAUCAGCUAUGUUCUUGGCCAGCUCCAGCCAUUGCAAGCAUUUUGGGAGUGAAGAAGCAGAUGGGAGUUUUCUCUCUCUCCCUCUGCCUCUAAGUAAGUUAUAUAACAUUUUUAAAAAUAAUUUUUAGGCUUAAUUAUAAAUCAAGAACAGCUGAAUAGGAAAAUACAAAGCAGCUAGAACAGAGUCAAAAUACUCAAACAAUCUGAGCAGAUGAAACAAAUCUGAAGUUAUAUUUGUCAUAUCCUGGUAAUUUCGAGAGAAGGGAUUUAACAGAGGUAGAUGUAAUCAAAAUUUCACCUUGGAAACCACUGCACGCUCUUCUCUUCAGCCUUCUAGUGUUCAGUUCUGAACAUUUAUUGCAGUUGUAUGCUGAAAGAGCUUCAAGCUGGGCCAGACUGCCUGGGAGAACUGAACAUGGACAGGAAAGAGUUGUUGGAGUUCCUUACUCUGCCAUUUUCACUGAAAAUCCAACAGGAGUUAAUCAUAAAGAAAGAAGAAGAGAACUCAACCAAGGUAAAUUCAUUAGCCCACAUAUAUGCAUGGAUGUAACAAUUAACAUACACUAUACUAAAUAAUGAAACUAUUCCUCUGAGAGAAACAAUGGGAUUUCUGAGGGGUAACUGAGAUAGUCUGAUGCUUACCAGUGAUUGAAGGUUUUGAAAGCCAAAUGAGCAGCCUGGUCCCUGGUUUAUAAGAAUUCCACUCAAGCAAUUCCAACAUGAAACAAUAGAUCCCAAAUCUAAUCCUCCCAAAUUUAGUGAAUUAAAUUCACUACUAGAAUCUGUUGUUUCUUCCAAUCAACUCAAAAUGGAACAAAUAUCUAAAUAUAAAUCCUGAGACUGCUAAACAUUUAGUGUAAAACAUAAGAGAACACUCAAGAUUUAGGCAUAGAGUACAAUAUUUUUGACAAUCCCUCAAAAACAGCCAUAAUAAAAUUAAAAAAAAAAACA
rnacentral:lncRNA from 1 species